rnacentral:rRNA from 1 species
UACGGGGGGGGCAAGCGUUGUUCGGAAUUACUGGGCGUAAAGGGCUCGUAGGUGGCCAACUAAGUCGGACGUGAAAUCCCUCGGCUUAACCGGGGAACUGCGUCUGAUACUGGAUGGCUUGAGUUUGGGAGAGGGAUGCGGAAUUCCAGGUGUAGCGGUGAAAUGCGUAGAUAUCUGGAGGAAUACCGGUGGCGGAAGGCGGCGAUCCUGGACCGACAUUGACGCUGAACGGCGAAAGCUAGGGGAGCAA